rnacentral:rRNA from 1 species
CCUACGGGUGGCUGCAGUGGGGAAUCUUGCACAAUGGGCGCAAGCCUGAUGCAGCGACGCCGCGUGGGGGAUGAAGGCCCUCGGGUUGUAAACCCCUUUCGGCAGGGAAGAAGCGCAAGUGACGGUACCUGCAGAAGAAGUCCCGGCUAACUACGUGCCAGCAGCCGCGGUAAGACGUAGGGGACGAGCGUUGUCCGGAUUUAUUGGGCGUAAAGCGCGCGUAGGCGGUUUGGUAAGUCGGAUGUGAAAUCCCGUGGCUCAACCGCGGGACUGCAUCCGAUACUGCCCGACUAGAGGUAGGUAGGGGAGAUCGGAAUUCCUGGUGUAGCGGUGAAAUGCGCAGAUAUCAGGAGGAACACCGGUGGCGAAGGCGGAUCUCUGGGCCUUACCUGACGCUGAGGCGCGAAAGCUAGGGGAGCGAACAGGAUUAGAUACCCUGGUAGUCCA